UUGAUCAUUUUUAAUGCUGGCCCAUGCCCUUCUGGGAGAGAGGAUCCCCAAAAGAAAGCCACCAUUUCAGUGGGGGAUCUGACGCUCCUAUGGGAAGGGGAGACCCGGGGCACUAGGGGCAAACAUCUUUGCUCAUUGGUUCAGAGAAGAGUACAAGACACCAAGGAGGCGCUCAGUGAAAAUCUGCUCAAGACUGCCGCUCCUCCCUGCAAAGCCUCAAGCAUCAAGCAGGGACAACUGGAUGUGAUUUUUUGGAUCUGCAGUUCAGGAUAAUUCAUGAGUCGUUUCCUGUGCACAAGGCCAUUGCUCCUUCUGUGGUCUCAGAACCCCUUCAAGAACCACUGACGCUGCAGUCCUACCACAAGGCGCGCAUGCGUGUCCGUGCGCGCACGCGGAUGUGCACCACGGAGGGGCUGAGGCUGGGAGCCAUAGUCAGGGGCACCGGGUGGGCUUUGGCGGGGGAUCGACCUGCCUUUCAGGUGCCGGGGGUUUGGGAGCAGGGGAACGGGCCCCGGGCCGAUCCUGACCGCCCCCUCCGCGCCCCGCCCCCACUUACUGUCGCUUUCCCCGCCCGCCCGCCCGAACUCCCGCCCCCGGGCGCCCGCCCGCUCCCACCUGUCACCCCCAUGCAGACCGAGGCUCUGUCCUGGAGGCGGGGAGCGGGCUGGUAGAUGCUGCCUCUCAGCCUCCAGUGUGCUCUUUGGCUGGGAGACUGGGGGGCGCUGGAAAUAUUGGAGGCGCUGGUGCCUGUGAUGUCGCCACCUCUGUGACGUCCCUGCCGCGACCCCGCAGGCAGGGAGCCGCAUUUAGGUUCCGGGCGGGCGGGCGGGCGGGCAGGCGGGGGACGGCCCGAGUGAGGUGUCCUCCGAAGGCUGCGGGCCCGAAGCCAGAAUCCCUCUCCAAAGACCUCGGGAGUAGGGCUCGCGCUUCCGCUGCGGGCCCAGAGCAAGAGGCAGGCGGCAGAGUCACUGACCUGCCCUGCCAGAGGGCAGCCAUGAAAGUGCUUUGAGGUCAUCAGAGUGCAAAGUGCCGUCAGCAGUACCCUCCGGCCCGGGGCAGGGCAGGGUGAGUGUUCGUGUGAGCUGUGCUCUGGGGGGCCCGCACGCUGGACACUGACAGUGGGGCUGGGGUGCCGGAGCGUCUCUGUUUGCUGCUUUCCUUAGUAUUGAUCAUGUCCAUCUACAGACCGUUCCUGUCAGGCACAUCCUGCAUCACCCUUCACCUUUACAGAUGAGGGAAGAGCGCCAGUGAGUCUGGGGCAGUGCUGGGCCUGAAGGGGCUCAGGGUCUGCUGCGCUGGGGAAGAGUGAUAGCCAGCAGCAAAGGGGCACGUGUCUGGGGACUGAGAACCACUUCACUUACACACCUUCUUUGGUCGUUGGCUGAACCAGAAGUCAACUCAGGACCUGUGUUACAACAAGCUGAAAAGUGUGGUGUAUUCUACCAGGGAGCCUUCUGGGAUCAGGCAUUCCUUUCCCCUACACCCGAAAGGGAUGAGCUGGCCAGGACUCAGAGAAUCCCACCCAGCCCAAGUGUGGGUCUGGAGGACCUCUCUGUCACCACUGCCAGUCUUACUUUGAGGCCCUGGGGGACGUCGAAGGCCAAUUCCACG